UACUGUUGGUCCAUGGAUUGCGCUUUGAAGAGCGAGACGCUGGAGGAUCUUGAGAAUAUGCAAUAAUAGCAGUUAACAUUUAUUUAUUUUUUUAAGUUUUUUUUUUAUUUAGUCAUUUUGAGAGAGAGAGAGAGCACAGAGGGAGAGGCAGACUCCCCGCUGAACAGAGAGCCCUGAUGCGGGACUCGAUCCCAGGACCCUGAGAUCAUGACCUGAGCCGAAGGCAGACGCUUAACCAACUGAGCCACCCAGGCGCCCCGCAGUUAACAUUUAUCAACCAUAGUGUCUGUCUUAAACUCCAUCUCUGCAGUAACUGGAGAGAAGACAGGAGGACUGAGCAGUAAGGAAGGAGGUGCCAACUCGCAUGCUUCAGGUGCACAUACAUGGAUCUCGGAGUAAGGCAGCACGAGGAAACAGGCAUCCCAGCGAAUCCUGUCUUUGGUGUGGGCGAUGGUGGAGGCAUCUGGCUUUGGGGUGACAGCAGUGACAGAAAUCCCGA